UACGUAGGGGGCAAGCGUUGUCCGGAUUUAUUGGGCGUAAAGAGCGUGUAGGCGGCCGAAUAAGUCUGACGUGAAAUCUGGAGGCUCAACCUCCAGCUGUCGUUGGAAACUAUUCGGCUAGAGUCCGGAAGAGGAGAGUGGAAUUCCCGGUGUAGCGGUGAAAUGCGCAGAUAUCGGGAAGAACACCCAUGGCGAAGGCAGCUCUCUGGGACGGUACUGACGCUGAGACGCGAAAGCGUGGGGAGCGAACAGG
rnacentral:rRNA from 1 species